rnacentral:rRNA from 1 species
UACGGUGGGGGCAAGCGUUGUUCGGAAUUACUGGGCGUAAAGGGCGCGUAGGCGGCCUUCUAAGUCGAACGUGAAAUCCCUGGGCUCAACCCAGGAACUGCGUCCGAUACUGGAAGGCUUGAAUCCGGGAGAGGGAUGCGGAAUUCCAGGUGUAGCGGUGAAAUGCGUAGAUAUCUGGAGGAACACCGGUGGCGAAGGCGGCAUCCUGGACCGGCAUUGACGCUGAGGCGCGAAAGCCAGGGGAGCAAACGGG